CCUACGGGGGCAGCAGUGGGGAAUAUUGGACAAUGGGCGAAAGCCUGAUCCAGCCAUGCCGCGUGUGUGAAGAAGGCCUUCGGGUUGUAAAGCACUUUCAGUGGGGAAGAAAGCCUUGGGGCUAAUACCCUCGAGGAAGGACAUCACCCACAGAAGAAGCACCGGCUAACUCCGUGCCAGCAGCCGCGGUAAUACGGAGGGUGCGAGCGUUAAUCGGAAUUACUGGGCGUAAAGCGCGCGUAGGCGGUCUGAUAAGCCGGUUGUGAAAGCCCCGGGCUCAACCUGGGAACGGCAUCCGGAACUGUCAGGCUAGAGUGCAGGAGAGGAAGGUAGAAUUCCCGGUGUAGCGGUGAAAUGCGUAGAGAUCGGGAGGAAUACCAGUGGCGAAGGCGGCCUUCUGGACUGACACUGACGCUGAGGUGCGAAAGUGUGGGUAGCAAACAGGAUUAGAUACCCCUGUAGUC
rnacentral:rRNA from 1 species